rnacentral:rRNA from 1 species
GACGAACGCUGGCGGCGUGCUUAACACAUGCAAGUCGAACGGAAAGGCCCUGCUGUUGUGGGGUGUUCGAGUGGCGAACGGGUGAGUACCACGUGAGUAACCUGCCCUGGACUUUGGGAUAACUUCAGGAAACUGGGGCUAAUACGCGAUAGUAGCUCUUGCUGCAUGGUGGGGGUUGGAAAGUUUAGGCGGGUGGGGAUGGACUCGAGGCUUAUCAGCUUGUUGGUGGGGUAGUGGCUUACCAAGGCUUUGACGGGUAGCCGGCUCGGGCGGGUGAGCGGCCACAUUGGCACAGAGAUACGACCCAGACCCCAGCUGUAGGCAUCGGUGGAGAAUUUUGCCCAAUAGGCGGAAGCCUGAUGCAACGACGCCGCGUGCCGGUUGUCGGCUUUCGGGUUGUAAGCCUCUUUUGCCUGUACCGAAGCGUGAGUGACGGUAAUGGAUAAAGAAGCACCGGCUAACUACGUG